rnacentral:rRNA from 1 species
UGAGGGAAUAUUGGGUCAAUGGGCGCAAGCCUGAUGCAGCGAUGCCGCGUGAGGGAAGAAGGUUUUCGGAUUGUAAACCUCUGUCAUCAGGGACGAAAAAAGACGGUACCUGAGAAGGAAGCUCCGGCUAACUACGUGCCAGCAGCCGCGGUAAUACGUAGGGAGCAAGCGUUAUCCGGAAUUACUGGGUGUAAAGGGAGCGUAGGCGGGAAUGCAAGUCAGAUGUGAAACCAAGGGCUUAACCUUUGGACUGCAUUUGAAACUGUGUUUCUUGAGUGAAGUAGAGGCAAGCGGAAUUCCUGGUGUAGCGGUGAAAUGCGUAGAUAUCAGGAGGAACAUCGGUGGCGAAGGCGGCUUGCUGGGCUUUUACUGACGCUGAGGCUCGAAAGCGUGGGGAGCAAACAGGAUUAGAUACCCUGGUAGU